GGUGACGUACUCAAGUGGCCGAAGAGGCACGCUUGGAAAGCGUGUGUUGUGCAAGCAACCGAGGGUUCGAAUCCCUCCGUCACCGCCA
rnacentral:tRNA from 1 species